AUGAUUAGAAACUGGGGAAGGCAGAUCUGCACAGAGUCAUUCCACAACCGGGACCUCCUGCUCUUUGAGGCAAUGCUCCUGUUCUUUAAACUUUGGGAAUGCAGCAAAGGUUGGAGAAAUCCUAACCCAGCUGCAAUUUGGCUGGGAUGGAGGCUGGAAGCGGAAACCAUAAUGCAAACUGCUAGCAUGGGACCAUCUGGCUGUAUUGACUGCACUGCCAGUAAGGCAGCUGCUCGGAAGCCUUUUUCACUGCAUCUCUGCAAAAAAGAGGUACCUGGAGCCACUAAGAAGAUUUUAUAGCAGAUGAAGAAAUUCCUACGUUUGGCACUUGGACAAAGGCAUCUAACAUUGUCUAACUAUUAUUUUUCUUCAAGUUUAUCUGUCUGCCUAUUGCAUGUUUUGCAGUUCAGAAAUAUAGCUCUAACUAGGGCCUCAUCUACUGCCCUAUAAUGUAAUUUGAGAUUGCAUUAUAUAAACGUAGACUCAUAUAAUGCAGUUCGAAGUAGUUUUUAUUUAUUGUGUCAGAAGCGAAUUGAGGAUACAGUUAUAAUCUAUUUUUAAAAACACAAAGUUAAAAACUUGACAUUAUACUAGAUUUUCUUUGACCAGAAGCUGGCCACUUGGAGUGCCUCUGGUAUUUCUAUAAGAAGGUCCUCCAUUGUACAUGUGGCAGGGCUAAGACCACAUUGUAGUAGGUGGUCUGUGGUUUACUCUUCUCCACACUCACACAUCGUAGAGUCCACUUUGUGGCCCCAUUUCUUAAGAUUGACACUGCAUCUCGUGGUGCCAGAGCACAGUCUGUUCAGCGCCUUCAAAGUCGCCCAAUCUUCUGUGUGCCCAGGAGGGAGUCUCUCAUCCAAUCUCAGCCGUGGAUUGAGGCUCUGGGUUUUAACUUGCCAUUUUUGGACUCUUGUUUGCUGAGGUGUUCCUGUGAUUAUCUCUGUAGAUCUUAGAAAGCUAAUUCUUGAUUUAAGGCGUUGGCAUGCUGGCUGAUAUCCAAACUGAGGAUGGGCCAGAGAUGUCAAUGCCUCGGUUCUUUCAUUACAGGUUGCUACAUCCCGAUGGAUGUCAGGUGGUGCAAUACUGGCUAAACAGUAUAAUUUCUCCAGUGGUGUAGGGUGUAGACAUCCUGUGCUAAUGUGGCAUGUCUCAUUAAGAGCCACAUCCACUGUUUUAACGUGGUGAGAUGUAUUCCACACUGGGCAUGCGUACUCAGCAGCAGAGUAGCAAAGCGUAAGAACAGAUGUCUUCACUGUGUUUGAUUGUGAAACCCAGGUUCUGCCAGACAACUUUCGUAUGAUAUUGUUUCUAGCACACACUUUUUGCUUGAUAAUCAAGUAGUGCUCCAUUAUAUGACUCUACAUUGACUCAGCAUUACCUGACAGUGUAGCUGGGGCUGAAAGAUGCAACCUGUGUGCCUGUUGACUUAUGGUGAUCUCUUGAAUUUCACAGGACUCUGUUAGGUAAGGAGGACUCGGAGUUGGUUCCUUCCUCCAAAAUAUAUCCUACUUAGUAUUUGUUGGUGGUCUCUCACACAAGUACUAAUGAGGGCCAACCUUCUUAGCAUCCAGGAUCAGACAGAUUUGUUACUUUUAAGGUACACAAGGGUAUAAAGACAGAGCUUGAAAAGGACACUUACUCUCAGAAUCCUAGUGGUCACACUAGAUGAGGGAUCAAAGGAACUGCUGUCCAUAAAAAGGAACUUUUCAAAGUUCUGUCGAUCACCUAGAAAACUAGCUGCUAUAGAUCUUCUAUUCUCAUACAACAGGGGAAAAAAACUUUAGUUGAGUUUUUCUUGAUUAAUACUGAGUAGGAGGAUAAUACCCAAAUAUCCAAAAAGCACCAGAUCUCAGCUGAUCUGGGAAGCUAAGCAGGGUUAGCCAUGGUUAGUACUUGGAUGGGAGACUGUCAAUAAAUAUCAGAUGCUCUGACUAUGUUUGAGAGGAAGGAUUGGACAAAACCACUUCUGAGUAUUCCUUGACUAAGAAAGCUUCAUGAAAUGCAUGAAGUUGGCAUAAGUCAGCAGCAACUGGAAAGCACACACACGUACACAAAUUCUCACCACCUUUUUACAACUAAUUAAUUCCCAUUCAGAUGGCAUUUCUAUAACUGCUAGUAGUCAUUCACAGUUAUAAAAGAAAUGCCUUUUACAUAUUCAGCAUACAAAAGCAUGGAGACAAUUACAUCUUCCCAACAGCAUUUACAUUGUUAUCUACCUAUUGUGCUUGUUACGAUUGCAAGGUUACAAUUGCAAGGAGACUGGACGUGUUUCUUUUAACAUUUUCGCACGAGGCCCAAUUAGGAGAGGGGGACUUUAUAAAGCAUAAUCAUUUUGUUUCUAUCGGCUUGUGGAAAUUCCUUGCCCAGAGUGGUUCUCUUUGACUUUCCAGAAUGAAAAAAAUGAAAAAAUAAAAAUAAAAGCAAAGCUGUCAAAACAGAUUAUUUCAAGUGUUUAGUCUGAGACGAGAGCAUCACAUGAAACAGACAUUGAUAGGAAUGAAGUGGGAAAGCGGACCACACAUUAAACUGGGGGGGGGGGGGGAAUCCAGUUUUGGAUGAUCCUUUAUAAUAUUUUCAGUUUCAAAUUAUCCUCUGCAAUACCUCCCCUCUGAAGCAGAGAACUAAAUAUAUAUCUCGAUUAAUGAAUAAUUCCUGGGCAUUAUUUCUUUAAUGGAAAUUAUGAUACCAGCAGCAGAAAUCAUGUAGGAAGAAGAGGGAGCGUUUCCUGCAGCACAG
ensembl:lncRNA